rnacentral:lncRNA from 1 species
GACCGUGCAUUCGGAUUCUUAUCGUCAUCCUCUCGGUUUGUCCUGACUUCAAAUGUACUUGAGAAGAAGAACACGUUGGGGAUUGUAUGAUCACUUUCUUCUUUGUGCUUGCUUCUAGUGUUGUUGUAUUGGCAGUGCGUUAGUCUCAAAGCAACUUUCCAUGAGAGGAAGACCACAAAGACUUGCAUUCACUUCAAAGAAUGAUUUAGGUUUCUUUGAUUUUAAUUUUGAUAUGUUAAAGCUUGUUGAGACAUUGGUUCGUAGAUGAAGUUCCUAGACUUAGCAAAUGAAAUAAUUUAUGUUUUGAAAAAUUAAUGAAAUAUAAUUUCUUAUAUAUAGAUCAAAUUGCAAUGUUUUGAUUUACAUUUUGCACUACAAUUUAUGUGACAAUUAACAUUUCAACAAUAAUAAAUUUGAAAAAAAAAAGAAUUUUUUAUUUCAAAUUCUAUACCCUAAACAUGCCCUAAGUCCUAAAUUGUGAAUAUUUCAUCAUAAAAUCCUAAGAUAGCACAACUAGUAAUAUGAUAAAAAGAAAAUCUAAUACUGAUAAUAAAUUAGAAAAAAAAAAAAUUCACCUCAUCUAAACCCUAAACAUGCCUUAAAUUUCAACAUCCAACACUUAUAGUAGAUUUCAAAAUGAACAUUUGUAAUUAUCAAACUUUAAAAAAUUUUAACUUUAUAACUUUAUAAUUUAUUUUUUUAAUCUUGAUUAUAAAAUUUAACUCCAAAAC